AUUGAACGCUGGCGGCAUGCUUUACACAUGCAAGUCGGACGAGUGGCGUACGGGUGAGUAACGCCUCGGAACGUACCUAGUAACGGGGGAUAACUAUCCGAAAGGACAGCUAAUACCGCAUAUUAUUCGAGCUGCCCAUGUCGGAUUAGCUGGUUGGCGGGGUAAAGGCCCACCAAGGCGACGAUCAGUAGCGGGUCUGAGAGGAUGACCAGCAACACUGGGACUGAGACACGGCCCAGACUCCGACGGGAGGCAGCAGUGGGGAAUUUUGGACAAUGGGCGCAAGCCUGAUCCAGCCAUGCCGCGUGUCUGAAGAAGGCCUUCGGGUUGUAAAGGACUUUUGUCAGGGAGGCGGUACCUGAAGAAUAAGCACCGGCUAACUACGUGCCAGCAGCCGCGGUAAUUC
rnacentral:rRNA from 1 species